UUUCCGUAGGUGAACCUGCGAAAGGAUCAUUAAAAAAUGUGGUACCGAUUGUUGGUACUAAUUAAUCAUCCUACCCUUUGUGAAUUUGUUUGUAUGAAUUUUUUUAAAUGGGUCUUUCCCUAAGUUGGAUUGUAGUAAAAUACAAAAAAGACUUAGGGGAAUGACUUUUUUAAAAGACUUUUUUUUAAUUAAAACUUUUUGUAUUCAUUUGUCUAAAAUUUAUUUUUAUAAUAUAAAAACAACUUUUGACAAUGGAUCUCUUGGUUCUCGCAACGAUGAAGAACGCAGCAAAAUGCGAUAAGUAGUGUGAAUUGCGAAUACGUGAAUCAUCGAAUCUCGAACGCAUAUUGCACUUUUUUAGUUUACUAAAAAAGUAUGUCUGUUUGAGUAUCAGUAAAAAUAUUCUCACAAACAUAUAUUGUUUGUGGUAUGAGUGUUUUACAACGAUAAACAAGUUGUUUCACUUUAAAUUCUUUUGUAAUGUUUUUCUACCAAUUCAAAAUUAAAAUUGGAUAAAAUUUUCCUUUAACGAGGAAUAACCUAAACAAUUUUAAAUUUUAUGGAUUAUAAACAUUCAUAAAGGAGUCUAAUUAUACAUAAAUAACUUGAUCUCAAAUCAGAUAAGAGUACCCGCUGAACUUAAGCAUAUCAAUAAGCGGAGGAAAAGAAACUAACAAGGAUUCCCUUAGUAACGGCGAGUGAAGCGGGAAGAGCUCAAAUUUGAAAUCUUCAAGGUUUGACCUUGACGAAUUGUAGUUUAUAGAAGUGUUUUCUGUUGGAGUUUUGGUAAAAGUUCUUUGGAAUAGGACAUUCAUAGAGGGUGAGAAUCCCGUAUUUGACCAUGACUUUCCAGCUGUGUGAUACACUUUCAAAGAGUCGGAUUGUUUGGGAAUGCAGUCCAAAAUGGGUGGUAAAUUUCAUCUAAAGCUAAAUAUUGGCGAGAGACCGAUAAGCGAACAAGUACCGUGAGGGAAAGAUGAAAAGAACUUUGAAAAGAGAGUUAAACAGUACGUGAAAUUGUCAAAAGGGAAGCGUUUGACACCAGUGUUGUUUUCUCGAAAAUCAAUUUAAUGAGUUCUUGUUUUUAAGUUAUUGUGACUUUAUCAGCGCAUUUCUUAUUUACUUGACUCAUUGAAUGCACUUUUCGUUUAACAAGUCAGCAUCAAUUUCUUUGGUGGUAAAAGUUUAAGGAAGGUGGCUUGGACUUCGGUUCAAGUGUUUAUAGCCUUUUUUCUAUGCCAUCGGAGAGAUUGAGGUCUGCAGCGUAGAUCCUUCGGGGUUAGAUACCUUUGUGCUAAGUUAUAGUUUUUUAUAGACAACUUGUUGACUAUAAUUAACCCUGUAAUUUACUCGCUUAGGCUAUUUUACCUACGCUUAGGAUGUUG
rnacentral:misc_RNA from 1 species